rnacentral:rRNA from 1 species
AUGAACGCUGGCGGCGUGCCUCAUACAUGCAAGUCGAGCGAACAGACGAGGAGCUUGCUCCUCUGACGUUAGCGGCGGACGGGUGAGUAACACGUGGAUAACCUACCUAUAAGACUGGGAUAACUUCGGGAAACCGGAGCUAAUACCGGAUAAUAUAUUGAACCGCAUGGUUCAAUAGUGAAAGACGGUUUUGCUGUCACUUAUAGAUGGAUCCGCGCCGCAUUAGCUAGUUGGUAAGGUAACGGCUUACCAAGGCAACGAUGCGUAGCCGACCUGAGAGGGUGAUCGGCCACACUGGAACUGAGACACGGCCCAGACUCCUACGGGAGGCAGCAGUAGGGAAUCUUCCGCAAUGGGCGAAAGCUUGACGGAGCAACGCCGCGUGAGUGAUGAAGGUCUUCGGAUCGUAAAACUCUGUUAUUAGGGAAGAACAAAUGUGUAAGUAACUAUGCACGUCUUGACGGUACCUAAUCAGAAAGCCACGGCUAACUACGUG